CCUACGGGUGGCAGCAGUGAGGAAUAUUGGUCAAUGGACGAGAGUCUGAACCAGCCAAGUAGCGUGAAGGAUGACUGCCCUAUGGGUUGUAAACUUCUUUUAUAUGGGAAUAAAAUGUUCCACGUGUGGGAUUUUGUAUGUACCAUAUGAAUAAGGAUCGGCUAACUCCGUGCCAGCAGCCGCGGUAAUACGGAGGAUCCGAGCGUUAUCCGGAUUUAUUGGGUUUAAAGGGAGCGUAGGUGGAUUGUUAAGUCAGUUGUGAAAGUUUGCGGAUCAACCGUAAAAUUGCAGUUGAAACUGGCAGUCUUGAGUACAGUAGAGGUGGGCGGAAUGCGUGGUGUAGCGGUGAAAUGCUUAGAUAUCACGAAGAACUCCGAUUGCGAAGGCAGUUCACUGGACUGCAACUGACACUGAGGCUCGAAAGUGUGGGUAUCAAACAGGAUUAGAUACCCUAGUAGUC
rnacentral:rRNA from 1 species